rnacentral:miRNA from 1 species
CCAGGAGUUGGGGGCGCUGCAGACCCGAAUGGUUCAAAGAACACUGUUUCUGCUCAUCCUCAGACCCACAG